rnacentral:misc_RNA from 1 species
UCCGGCUUAUCACCGGCAGUCCCCCUAGAGUGCCCAACUAAAUGAUGGCAACUAAGGGCGAGGGUUGCGCUCGUUAUAGGACUUGACCAAACAUCUCACGACACGAGCUGACGACAGCCAUGCAGCACCUGUGUUGCGGUUCCCUUUCGGGCACCGAGGUAUCUCUACCCCCUUCCGUACAUGUCAAGGGUAGGUAAGGUUUUUCGCGUUGCAUCGAAUUAAUCCACAUAAUCCACCGCUUGUGCGGGUCCCCGUCAAUUCCUUUGAGUUUUAACCUUGCGGCCGUACUCCCCAGGCGGUCAACUUCACGCGUUAGCUUCGUUACCAAGGAAUUGCUUCCCCGACAACCAGUUACAUAGUUUAGGGCGUGGACUAC